GUGAUCCACUGUGCCCGGCCUAAUUUUCUAAUUUUUAAAAACUCUAUCAAGUAACAACAAUGCUUUGAAUUUUGCCCAUACUGUCAGUAUGGUAUGGGGAAAAUAAAAUAGGAAUAGAAAAGGAAAACCAGGAAAAGAGGUGGUUUUCAACCAAAUGAGGAUUGGACAAAAAGAAAAAAAGAGACAAAGAAAGAAGUGUCACAAAUUUGGCAUUACUUUGUAUUUAAAAUCUUAUGAAGAGUAAGGAGAAUGUUGAUGGAUAUGAAUGAAAUAGAAUCAAUUUAAAGAAUAUUCAUUAGACCCUACAGUAUGCCUGAAAAUGUAGUGUGCACAGUGUAUAAAAUAAGAAAUUGCUUCCGUAAAGUGGCCUAUGUCUGGUUAUAAAAAUCAGAUGAAUGCAAAACCAGCUAGCAAUGCUAGCUUUAUGUAGCUUCACUCUGAGCCAGACAUCAUGUAUUAGAAAACAAGGAUAAGUAAUAACAGCUCACGUUUAAAAGGGCUUACUAUGUGCCAGGUCCUAUGCUGACCACUUUUCACAGAUUAUCUCAAUUAAUCUUCACAUUAAUCUUUUGAGUAGAUACUGUUGUCCCCAUUUUUUCCAAUGGGUAUAUUGAGACUUAAAAAGUUAAAAUAACUUGCCCAUUGUCAAAUAACUGACCAUGGAAUUUGAACCAAAGUCAUUUAAUUCAAAAUGAAGAAAUUUAAUCACGUAAACUACUGCUUCCCAUAAUUCUCAGCCUUUAGGAACUCAGUCUAUGAAGGAAUGAUGGGUGCUUAAUGACCAUUUGUUGUAUGAACGAAUGACUUCCUUUGUGGCCGCUCAUGUUUAUUGCUUAGCUUUUUUUUUUUUUUUGAGACGGAGUUUCGCUCUUGUUGUCCAGACUGGAGUGCAGUUGCAUGAUCCAGGCUCACUGCAACCGCUGUCUCUCGGGUUCAAGCAGUUCUCCUGCCUCUGCCUCCCAAGUAGCCGGGACUACAGGCGCACGCCACCACGCCCAGCUAAUUUUUGUAUUUUUAGUAGAGACGAGGUUUCACCCAUGUUGGCCAGGCUAGUCUCGAACUCCUGACCUCAGGUGAUCCGCCUGCCUCAGCCUCCCAAAGUGCUGGGAUUACAGUCGUUACCACUGCGCCUGACCUAGACUGUUCAGGUUUAAGUUCCUAGGAUACAAAUAUACAACAGACUAGGGCCGAUACUUUGUUUGCUGUUUUCAACACAGAAGUGGAAAGCAUGAUUUUCCACUUCUGGAAUAAUUUAGAGUGACAUCUGGUGGUUGCCUGUGAGACAAGAAUUGUUGAAGAAACUGAAUUUAAAAGCCUGUAAUAAAUAAGACUACCAGACAUAAAAAGAUAAGAACGGUGAAUUAAAGUAGUAAAAAGUUUAAAAAACAUAUCUUAAAUCCUCACUAAAGAAAAAUUUUACAAAAUGCUAGUUGCAGAUUUUCAAUCCACUGGACUUUAAAAAGAAAUAAUAGAUUCCUUAAUGAGUAGUUGUAACGAAAAUUGUAACAGUUAAUUGAUGGCAGGAAAUACGAAUUGAUUUAUACUGGUUUGAAGAUUCUGGCUUGAGAGGAAAUGCAACUUUACGGGGGAAGACGACUCAAAGGUUACAGGAACAACUUAUUCACAAGGCAAAAUAUCUUCAACAUCUCUCCAAAACUUCAAGGGCAGAAUGGGUAUCUGCUGAGAUGGUAAGAUGUCCAGUUGGCAGGAAAUAUUUCACCGAAUCUCACUUGCCGGGGAAAAAAGCCAGUGAACGCGACCCGCGCAGCCGGCUAGAUCGUGCGCUCGGCCUCAGAUUGGUCGAGGCUGUUUGGGCUGCGGGAAAAGCGGAAGCGCGCUUUUCAAAGUCUUUCCACCAUCGAUGAAGGCAGGCCACUUCCGGUGUAGCCAUGGCGGCUAACGCUACUACCAACCCGUCGCAGCUGCUGCCGUUAGAGCUUGUGGACAAAUGUAUAGGAUCAAGAAUUCACAUCGUGAUGAAGAGUGAUAAGGAAAUUGUUGGUACUCUUCUAGGAUUUGAUGACUUUGUCAAUAUCCUUUUAAAAGGUGGUGGUGUGAAAUCACACCAGAAGGAAGAAGGAUUACUAAAUUAGAUCAGAUUUUACUAAAUGGAAAUAAUAUAACAAUGCUGGUUCCUGGAGGAGAAGGACCUGAAGUGUGAAUGAGUUUCCUUGACUUACACUAGAUUUUGUUUUGUCUUAUAAUGACAAGAAAAUGGAAUUUUUUUUCCUACUUUCUAAUGUUUAAAUCCCAUAAAGCUAAGUUUCCCGUUAAAGGGAAGUGCUUUGAAGAUGUGUACCCAUUUUUGUAAGUUAAUCAUGAUUGUCCUGGAAAAAGAAGAAAAGAGCUUCUUCUUUGUAGAUGAAAAUAAAGGUGUUUUUGGUUAACUGUCAUUUUAUUUAUUGUACUGCAGUAGCCAGUGGAACAAAGAUUGUAGUUAUUUUGCCACUUACUUUUCUGUCAUUAUAUGCUUAUUUGUUUUCUCAUUUACAUGACCAUUUGAUUGUCAAACAAAAGUUGUUCCAAACAAAAUGAUGAACUUUGAUUUGAACAGGUGCAUUUAAACAACCGGAAAUGAUCACUUAGAAAAUUCAAUUAAAAUGCUGUUGUUUUGUAAUGAGGAUUUUUCUACUGAUUUCAAAUUCCAUGAACUCCUAUUGAAAACGAACAAUGUACAGGUAAUAUAUGCACAUUGUAGAAAUGCAGGAAUUAUCUAUUGGAAUUACCCUAAAGAUAGAAAUUUUAUCUAUUUGCUUUCCAAAUUGGUUCAGAAGGUUAUUACCUUAAUGUAGUUAUUACUGAAUUGCCAGGAAAUGAGUGGAGACAGAGCUUUAAGAUAAAGGAUACUAAAAACAGCUAAGAACUCUAGGACUCAGGUCAAAUCAAGGAACUGAUAAUAAGAUCAUUGAACUGUAUAAAUUAAGUCAAAGAACUCCUAUUAAAAACAAACGGGUAAUAUAUGCACAUUGUAGAAUUGUAGGUAAGCAAAAAGGAGAAGGUUGAUCAUGCUUUGCUGUAUGUCUUCGUAGACUUUCUCAGUCCACUCUCACUACACAUUUUAUUUUACUUGCUCAUCCUGAUUAUACUGUUUUUACCCUCCACUUAAGUCAUUUUUUGAAUUUAAAUGGUGAAUAUCUUUCUGUGUCAAAUAUUUCAACAUUAAUAUGUACAUAGUAUUAAAUGGAUUUACUAUAAAUUAUUUAGCCUAUUCUUACUGGCCACAGUAGUCUAACUAGAUCUUUAUACAUUUGUAUUUUUCUAGAAUAAACUAAAAAAUGUGUAAGAUCAAAGGGUAUAUAUUGUGUUGCCAAGAAAAAGUUUGUGCCAAUGUAUAUUUUUGCCAGGAGUCUUUCAUAGUACCAUUUAUAUCCUUCCCAGCAUUAGCUAUGUUCUACCUUCUUUCCUCUUUGCCAUUUUUACAAGCAAAACCCAGCAUGUCUAAAAUUUUCCUUUUUUUUUUUGUUUUUUUGUUUUUUGGAGAGUCUCACUGGAGUGCAGUGGCAUGAUCUUGGUUCCCUGCAACCUCCAGUCAGGCUGGCGUGCCAUGUCGCAAUAUCAACACGACCUCCGCCUCCCAGGUUCAAGUGAUUCUCCUGCCUCACCCUCCCGAGUAGCUGGGAUUACAGGUGGGCGCCACCACUCCCAUCUAAUUUUUAUAUUUUUAGAGAGAUGGGGUUUUACCUUGUUGGCCAGGCUGGUCUUGAGCUCCUGACCUCUAGUGAUCCACCUGCCUCAGCCUCCCAAAGUGCUGGUAUUAAAGGCAUGAGCCACCAGGCCUGGCCUAAAAUUUUCUUGAUUAAUUUUGAUCUCAUUUGUAUUUUGUAAAUGACUUAUCUGAUGAGGCUUUUGCCAUUGAGAUGUUUGUCUUUUUCUUACUAAUUUGUAAGAAUUCUUGAUGGGUUUCUCUUAGUCAUGUAUUUUGCUAGUAAUUUCCCUAGUUUGUAGUUUGACACUUAGUGCUAUUUUUGACAUAAAUGAUGUAUUUUAAUGUAGUUGCAUGUUGACCUAGUCCAUUAUGGUUUUUGUAUUUGGUCCACGUGGAUUGGAAAGACCUUUGCUUUGAUUAUACUUUUCUUUGGGCA